rnacentral:lncRNA from 1 species
UCACAGCACAGCUAAGAACACGGACAACAGGCAUGUCUGUGAGGAGUGAGGGCUCACUGUGAGCUCAAGAUGGGGGCCUCUGAUACAAAACGAUUUGUGGUUAGAACAGGAAUUUCAGGGUUCUUGUGGCCUGGGGUCUGUGGGGGCAGCAGUUACCUGCCAGGCUGGGGGACGUGGCAGAAAAGGUCCUUGCCUUGAGGAAGUUCGAGUCUAGCAGAGGAGAAAAUCAAGAAACAACGCCAAAUGCAUUAUGUCUGAGUGGAAGGUCCUCUGGGAAGCACCCAGGGCACAGGAACACAGUGUCUACUUCUCACCAAAGGAGCCCUCUCCUAUAUCCAGGCUGCAGCUCUCUUACAGCGCAUGCAGAGUCCCCCAGAGGAUGACAAUCACAUUUCUACAAGGCUGUCUAUUUCCCCAGGGGCUUUGGAUCUACGUUUCUGAAAUCUCUCGUGUCACAUAAAACUUUAGGGAGAAGCAAACCUCUUCUGCCCUCGCCUGCCAAAGAAAUCAAUCACACAGCCCCAGAGAGCGCAGCAUCUUAUACCAUUGUGCACUCCUGAGCAUAGAAAGCACAGCUUCCCUGCAUGGAGUAAGCAGGGUCUGUGUUUUCCUCCUACCUCCUGUAGGGUACAUCUGGCCCACAGCUCCCCCAUACUGUUUGUAAAACUUGCAUUAGGCACGUACACUAUGUUUUGAAUGGUGAAGGGCAUGGCCAACAAUAAUCUUGGGACUGGCUCUGUUCUGCUCAUCUAGAGGGCAGGGUUCGUAUGUGAAGCUCCCCUUCACCCAGUCUGCUCUGCUCUUUGUCUCUUAGGAAGCCAAGAUCAUUGCCUUUUAACCUUUGCUCUCAACACACACAUUCCUGGAAUCUCUUCCAAGUUCUUUCUAAAUUCUACCACCUCUUUUUUUGUUGCUAUUAUUAUUAUUAUUAUUAUUAUUAUUAUUAUUAUUAUUAUAUUUACUACUAUUAUUUUAUAUGUAUGAUGUUUUUCCUGCAUGUAUUUAUGUGCACCAUGUGCACACCCCGUAUCCAAUGAGGUCAGAACUGGGUAUCAGAUUCCCCAGAACUGCAGUUGCGGAUGGCUCUGAGCUGCUAUGUGGGCACAAGGAUGAACACAGGGCAAGCUUUCAUGGCUCUCAAGAAAGCUGGUUGAAACCAAGUUCAUAGCCCUAGUCUAUCUGUCUGUCUGUCUGUCUGUCUGUCUGUCUGUCUGGACAGCUGUCUGUCUAGGUCAUUCUAGGUUGUAGAAAUCAUACCAAAGACCUGCAUCCUGGUGGCACACAGAAGUGGGCAGAUCUUGAGGCCAGCUUUGUCUACAGAAUGAGUUUCAGAACAGCCAAGGCUACACAGAGAAACCCUGUCUCCAACCUCCCACUACCUACCUGAAGUAAUAGCAAGACGACUUCAUCCCUCUGUAUCUUUGGAAACUCUGUGACUGGGUGCACACACACACACACACACACACACACACACACACACACGUGUGUGUGUGCUCAUUAUGUUUUCCAGAUAAGAUAGCAUUUCUCUGGUGAUGAAAAGUCCCUUUUCCUCCUUAGUAACACUUUCAGUCUUGAAGAGGUUUGUACGUUGAUAGAAUCCAUAUAGAUAAAGAAGAUAUGGUUUUGGCUGGGCACGCUGGCACAGGAUUGUGAUGC